rnacentral:rRNA from 1 species
GGCGUGGUAGGUCAGCCUCUUAACGGAUUGAGGUGCCAAACGCGUAGGACGUUGAAGGGUGUAGGUAAGUCCGCACCCCGAGUCCGAAACGUGAUGGCGGUGCCUUAGAGCCACAAGUGAUUGAGCCAUGCCGCCUAGAAAAGCUUCUAAGCGUUGAUAUUUGAGUGACCGUACCGCAAACCGACACUGGUAGGUGGGUAGAAUAUACCAAGGGGAGCGAGAGAACCUUCGUUAAGGAAUUAGGCAAAUUUCCCCCGUACGUUCGCAAUAAGGGGGGCCUCUGGUGGUGAGCUUAAUCGCAAAGCUGCUGGAGGCCGCAGAGAAAUGGCUCUUCCAACUGUUUAACAAAAACACAGGUCUCUGCUAAGUCGAAAGACGAAGUAUAGGGGCUGACGCCUGCCCAGUGCUGGAAGGUUAAGGGGAGAGGUUAGGCGCAAGCCGAAGCUUUGAGCCGAAGCCCCAGUGAACGGCGGCCGUAACGAUAACGGUCCUAAGGUAGCGAAAUUCCUUGUCGGGUAAGUUCCGACCCGCACGAAUGGCGUAAUGAGAGGAGCACUGUCUCAACGAGGGACUCGGCGAACAUUGAAGGACGUGUGAAGAUACACGUGACCCGCAGCGGGACAAAAAGACCCCGUGAAGCUUUACUACAACUUGCCAUUGAGUUAGGGCUAAACCUGUGUAGUAUAGGUGGGAGGCUUUGAAGCUGGGACGCCAGUCUCGGUGGAGCCACCGUUGAAAUACCACCCUGGUUUAUUCUUGGCUCUAACCUGUCGCCGUUAUCCGGCAUGGGAACAGUGGCUGGUGGGUAGUUUGACUGGGGCGGUCGCCUCCGAAAGCGUAACAGAGGCGCCCAAAGGUUCCCUCAGGCUGAAUGGAAACCAGCCGUUGAGUGUAAAGGCACAAGGGAGCUUGACUGCAAGACCUACAAGUCGCGCAGGGACGAAAGUCGGGCUUAGUGAUCCCACGGUUCAGAGUGGAAUGGCCGUGGCUUACCGGAUAAAAGCUACUCCGGGGAUAACAGGGUAGUCUGGUCCAAGAGUUCAUAUCGACGACCAGGUUCGCCACCUCGAUGUCGGCUCAUCACAUCCUGGGGCUGGAUAAGGUCCCAAGGGUUGGGCUGUUCGCCCAUUAAAGUGGUACGUGAGCUGGGUUCAGACCGUCGUGAGACAGGUCGGUCUCUAUCCGCUGUGGGCGUAAGGGAUUUGAGAGAAGCUGCCCCUAGUACGAGAGGACCGGGGUGGACGGACCUCUAGUGUGCCAGUUGUUCUGCCAAGAGCAUUGCUGGGUAGCUACGUCCGGCAGAGAUAACCGCUGAAAGCAUCUAAGUGGGAAACUCGUCUCAAGAUUAGAUCCCUCAUCCGUAUGGAGUAAGACCGCUAGAAGACUACUAGUUUGAUAGGCGGCAGGUGUAAGCGCAGUAAUGUGUUCAGCUUAGCCGUACUAAUGGUCGAGGGCUUACGUUU